rnacentral:tRNA from 1 species
GUAGCUCAGUGGUAGAGCUCACGCUUCUUAUGCGGGCAGACCUGGGUUCGAUUUCCGGC